rfam:Myotis davidii contig195552, whole genome shotgun sequence.
GGCAGUUCUCGGGUGACACACGGUGAAGUCGGGCUCCCUCCUCUCUGGUUCCAGGUGCGUCACCCGAGAACCACA